GUCAAGGUUGUCAAAAUCACAAUUCAACUCGUAAAAUCGUACGUUUUUACGAGUUGAUAUAGGCUUUACGUGCUAAAUCGCUUGUAAAACUCGAAAAUGGGUAAAAUCAAGUCAAAAUUGGGUAAAAUUAUUAAAAUCGGGUGAAUUCAUGUAAAAUCACGAUUUCACCACCGAUUUAACGAUUUUACCCACAGGAAAAAAAGGCCAUGUAUCUGCCAGAUGUCGACCGCCUAUUGGCUUUAACAAAGCAAAUGCAAUGUUUCUCUUCAGUCUUCUUCGCAUUUCAGUUCAUCAUUCAUGUUCAAAACCAAAAAAAUCCCUAAAUUGAAAUCCUAAAAUUCCAGUCGUCCCUAAACUGAGGAUUCCUCAGUGACUCAAUCUCUAUCUCUUUCUCUCAGCCGUCCACGAUUCCAGUAUUCCACGAUCACCGUCCACUGGUACUUCACAACAGCCCUCGUCUCUCAUCGACGAUGUCCUUUUCACCAGCCACCGUGAGAACUAGAGUCCACCCAACGACAACGGCGUCUCCCCAGUCUCCACCAAGCUCCAAGUUUGACUGCAAUAUUGAUCUCCUCAGUGCCCACUGCUCAGAACAGAAAUAAGAGUUUCUUACCAUGUUCAUUUCUUACCUUGUUUGUAAUCUGUCGUGACUGUUGUUUAGGACCAUUAGGUGCUUUAAUCUUUACAGUUUAAUGAUGUUAAAGAUUGAGAUUUUGAUUCAAAGUUUCUGUGACUAUCUAUUAUUGAGA